GCUUACGGCCAUACCACCCUGAAUGCGCCCGAUCUCGUCUGAUCUCGGAAGCUAAGCAGGGUCAGGCCUGGUUAGUACUUGGAUGGGAGACCGCCUGGGAAUACCAGGUGCUAUAAGCU
rnacentral:rRNA from 1 species